rnacentral:rRNA from 1 species
UACGUAGGGUGCGAGCGUUGUCCGGAAUUAUUGGGCGUAAAGAGCUCGUAGGCGGUUUGUUGCGUCGGCUGUGAAAACCCGGGGCUCAACUCCGGGCCUGCAGCCGAUACGGGCAGACUAGAGUUCGGCAGGGGAGACUGGAAUUCCUGGUGUAGCGGUGAAAUGCGCAGAUAUCAGGAGGAACACCGGUGGCGAAGGCGGGUCUCUGGGCCGAUACUGACGCUGAGGAGCGAAAGCGUGGGGAGCGAACAGG